UACGUAGGGGGCUAGCGUUGUCCGGAAUCAUUGGGCGUAAAGAGCGUGUAGGCGGCCCGGUAAGUCCGCUGUGAAAGUCGGGGGCUCAACCCUCGGAUGCCGGUGGAUACUGUCGGGCUCGAGUACGGAAGAGGCGAGUGGAAUUCCUGGUGUAGCGGUGAAAUGCGCAGAUAUCAGGAAGAACACCCGUGGCGAAAGCGGCUCUCUGGAACGGUACUGACGCUGAGACGCGAAAGCGUGGGGAGCGAACAGG
rnacentral:rRNA from 1 species